AUCACUGACACACACAACAAUCUUCAUCAACAUGACCUUCAUCAUCAUCUUCAUCUGGACUCUCACAGCGUUUGCUCAAGAGUGUAGAGGACAGAUCACCGUCACUCAGAGUCCCUCAAUAACAGCAGAACAACCAGGAGGAACUGUGAAUAUCAACUGUAAAACCAGCAGUGAUGUGUACAUGAGUGGUCGGGAUCCUUGUUUAUCCUGGUACUUACAGAAACCUGGAGAAGCUCCUAAACUCCUGAUUUAUUACGCAAACCGCCUCCAGUCAGGAACUCCAUCUAGAUUCAGUGGCAGUGGAUCUAACAGUGAUUUCACUCUGAGCAUCAGUGGAGUCCAGACUGAAGAUGCUGGACAUUAUUACUGUCAGAGUUAUCACAGUGGUGAUGUGUUCACACAGUGAUAAAGAGUCGUACAAAAACCUCGGUCAGUCAGAGUCACAGUGACUGAACUGAAACUGCAGCUGCUCAAAGGAGGAUCUCAAAU